GAUCCGCAGCUUCAGUUCCAGCUCAUAUGUCCCAUGAUACAAGGGAUAGAUGAUACGUCCGCUCCGUUGCAGGUAUGAGCGUUACGUGGAUGCGUGAGGUUGAUGCUCCCACACCAGACGCUGGUUGCACGUGAGCGGGGCGCUGGUAUGACUCACCGACUUAUAUUACGCGAGCUGUAUCACGAACGGGGCAUUGCUCUGAGAGGGUUCGUCCAGUUUGGAUGCUGACGCAGAGUCCCUGUGCCUCAUGCAAGUGCCUGGAUGAUAUGGAUUCCUCGUGAACGAGUCGCGAAAAGCACCUCGCCUGGUCGAGCCCAGGACUUGAAGCGCUGGGGCGACGAUUCCAUGCUGCGUGAUCACUUUGGUCACACUCACUGAAACAGUACAAACUGAAUGCAUUCGUCUCUGGUCUGUGCGAUACAGCCGGGGCUCGAGCGCCCCGUUCUGUGGCACCUUGCUCUGUACGCGGUCGUGGUACAGAGCCCUGUGCAUGCCAGUCUGCGCUUCUCAUUCCCGCGUAUGCGCGUUGCAUCCGGGAGACAUGUCGCUCGGGGCGAGCUCGGCUUUUGUAGGGCGGAAGCGGCGACACUUCGAGCGCCUGCAUACCAGCGGACCCGCUGCAUCGCGAGUCGAUGCCCUGCAAGGCAUCAAUAUGCCAUCGGAACUCCGCAUGAUAAAGCCGCGUCAGCGUAUCCAGCGCCACAGCAAUCGCAUGAGUGAAGCUCUGAACCCACCGGGUCGCUGCAUCUGACCUUCGUUGCGGCGGAGAAUAUCGGACUGGGCUGCGAAAUGACAGAAUCUUCCCCGUAUGGGUAGAGCGAUCCAGUACAGGGGUAUCGGCAGAGAUCGCACACCGGCGAGUCUGCGGACAUCGCUCGAAAUGAUGCCACAGAGUAGAGCCCGGCAGCUGGAGCUUCUCUGCAUCGGGAUCGCAUUUCCCUAGAUAGUAUUGAACUGAUGCAAAUGAAAAAGAGUGGCGUACGUAGAGGAACCAAACUGCAGACGAUGGGUAGCGGCAGCGUGCCGGCAUUUCGGCAACGCAUUGGAAAUCCGUCGAUCUUCGUUUUCUAAGGAUGCACGAUGGUUUUCUGUAGCCAGAGAUGCCCGAUUGCAAAAUAAUUAUCGGUAUGUGGCACAACGUCCAUCAUUCCGUACUACACCUCAAUUUCCCGUCGCAAGCUAUUGGUCGGGACGAGGUCCAGAGAGCAUGCAGCCGUCGAAAUGCGUUCCGGAUCUGCUCGAGCACCACGCACCGCAUAGCAUCCCUUGUUGACGUUUUCUGGUCAGAGAACAUUGACGGUGAUCGACGCUUCCCGUCCGAGUUGGCAUGAUGUCGGUAUGUACCAUACGCGUCGCCGCGACGCGUACUCGAGUUGUGAGUCGCUCGCACACCGCCAGUCCAAUGGAUAACGGUAGCAGAGACGCACCUGGGACAUCCACAUCGGAAUUCCAGAAUGCAACGUACCGCGGGGACGUUCUUACCGGAUUCCGCUCAAGUCAGCAAGUAUCCAGAGAGAUCCAAGAAUGCAUGCGAAAGAGGCACAUGUGCGGAGAUCACCACAUUUCCGGUUUCCUAGCACUCCUUUGUACCUUGCGGGUGCAAGAGAAUCCAUCAUGAAGCACUCGAUCCGCAGACCAGUGGGUAAAGUGCGACCGCUCACGCGUACGGUAUGCAAAAAAAGGCUGCGUAGGGAUUCUAAAGCGUAGCGGGAUCCAGAGCCUUUAGGAACAAUGCGAGGCGGCCGGCAUCCAGACGUGCAGUUGCUAUCGAAACCUGUCAAGGCGUUUAGCCAGAUUUGGUCUCGUCCCUGUGGUUCAAACAGGUUGCUUCGUGGGCAGGAGCUCCGGGCAUCCGACCAAAGGCGACCGAAUCGAUCCGAAUGCAACUUUGUCAUAUUUAUGGAUUUUUUCACCACAAAAAUGAAUCGUUCGUGAGGACUUGGAGCGAGCGCCCCGAAUACGCGCUCAAUGGAUGCGUAGGCACCGCGGCGAUCGAAGAAGAUAUACGGGUCAUGGAACUUGAACGUAGCGUGUAGCAUGAUAGACGCGUUCCCCGAAAUCCGACGAUCCAUCCAGCAGUCCGGUAUCGAUAGCCAGUAGAAACGCUCUGUCCAACAUAAUCGACCGUCUCUCAGUAUCUUCUUGGCGAAGUAUGGGUCAUGGAACUUGAACGUAGCGUGUAGCAUGAUAGACGCGUUCUCCGAAAUCCGACGAUCCAUCCAGCAGUCCGGUAUCGAUAGCCAGUAGAAACG
rnacentral:misc_RNA from 1 species